rnacentral:rRNA from 1 species
AUUGAACGCUGGCGGCAGGCCUAACACAUGCAAGUCGAACGGUAACAGGAAGAAGCUUGCUUCUUUGCUGACGAGUGGCGGACGGGUGAGUAAUGUCUGGGAAACUGCCUGAUGGAGGGGGAUAACUACUGGAAACGGUAGCUAAUACCGCAUAACGUCGCAAGACCAAAGAGGGGGACCUUCGGGCCUCUUGCCAUCGGAUGUGCCCAGAUGGGAUUAGCUAGUAGGUGGGGUAACGGCUCACCUAGUCGACGAUCCCUAGCUGGUCUGAGAGGAUGACCAGCCACACUGGAACUGAGACACGGUCCAGACUCCUACGGGAGGCAGCAGUGGGGAAUAUUGCACAAAGGGCGCAAGCCUGAUGCAGCCAUGCCGCGUGUAUGAAGAAGGCCUUCGGGUUGUAAAGUACUUUCAGCGGGGAGGAAGGGAGUAAAGUUAAUACCUUUGCUCAUUGACGUUACCCGCAGAAGAAGCACCGGCUAACUCCGUG